CUUCCCCGUGGUUCCUCCAAGGCUCCUUUGUGGCCAUAAUCAAAGCCUGCAGCAUGGCAGUGCUGGCUUCCCAGAUUAAUCUUCAUGGCUGCAUGAUGUGGCAGUGGCUGUGCUUGCUGAGCCCAUGGGAUCUGACGGAAGCCGUGGUUUCCCAAGUGCUUGCCCUGAGGCAGCAUGCAGACAGCAGCUCGAUGCCAGUGGCACAGAAGACGUCGUCACUCGACAUCGGGUCAGCACCCUCGAGCCAGAGGAUGUGUUGGAGAAGCUGGGCCAUCAGUGCCCUGCUGGCAGGUGCCUCAGCUGUGGGAGCAGUGCAGAGAGAAGGACUGAGAGCCGUGGAUUCCAUCCCCAGGGCUUCAGUGACCUCCAGGCACUGGGACACAGGUGCUGCUUGGGGUGGAGAUGCAUUCCCCAACAACCUUGCACCCUCUUGUAGGGGACUUCUGGAGGAGUAUGCCUGCAGCCUGGGCAUGGGAUAGCAUAUGGAAGCUGUGAGGGCUGUGGGGAAGCGUGAGGGCUGUGCUGCUGGGGAGCAAGCAGGCUCAGCUGUGCCCUGAGCCGUGGGGCUGAGCUCCUCCCUGAGCAUGGCUUGGCCCUCGUCUCGCGAGCAGAGAUGAAAAUAAACUCAGCU
rnacentral:lncRNA from 1 species